AUCCUUUUGCAGCUGGUAACCGUGAUGAUUGGGUGUUUGCGCAUGUGUGAUGUGCCACCCUCGCACUUGUUGCAACAUCGGCACAUUAGCCAUGUGACA
ensembl:snoRNA